rnacentral:rRNA from 1 species
ACCCCCUUGUAAUGGAAUUAAGAGCUACUCAAAGGAGGUACAGCUCCUUUGACAAAGAACACAACCUCUUCUAGCGGAUAACCACCUCCCCCCCUCCUUGUGGGCCUUAAAGCAGCCACCAACAAAGAGUGCGUCAAAGCUCAUAACCCAAAAAAAUCCGAAAACACACGCGACUCCCUUACCCACAAUGGGCCAACCUAUUGUAAUAGAAGAAUUAAUGCUAGAAUGAGUAACCUGAGAUCCUCCCUCCAAUGAGCGUAAACUUACAUUAAUACAUUAUUAACAGACUACUUAUAUCCCCACUCCAACAAGAGCACAUAUUCCUCCUUCUGUUAAACCCACCCAGGAACGCCUACCGGACGAUUAAAAUCUGCAAAAGGAACUCGGCAAACCCAAGGCCCGACUGUUUACCAAAAACAUAGCCUUCAGCCAAUAACAAGUAUUGAAGGUGAUGCCUGCCCAGUGACAUCGAAGUUCAACGGCCGCGGUAUCCUAACCGUGCAAAGGUAGCGCAAUCAAUUGUCCCAUAAAUCGAGACUUGUAUGAACGGCUAAACGAGGUCUUAACUGUCUCCUGCAGAUAAUCGGUGAAAUUGAUACUCUCGUGCAAAAGCGAGAAUAUGAACAUAAGACGAGAAGACCCUGUGGAACUUGAAAAUCAAUGACCACCUAAUCAAACACUCCCCCAUACGGGCACACCUGCUUUCAUUAAUGCCUGGUCAACAUUUUUCGGUUGGGGCGACCUUGGAGAAAAAAAAACCCUCCAAAUCAAUCCAGGCCACAACCCUUCACUAAGAGCUACCGCUCAAAGUGCUAAAAGUCACCAGACCCAAUACAAUUGACCAAUGGACCAAGCUACCCCAGGGAUAACAGCGCAAUCCCCUCCAAGAGCCCAUAUCGACAAGGGGGUUUACGACCUCGAUGUUGGAUCAGGACAACCUAAUGGUGCAGCCGCUAUUAAGGGGUUCGUUUGUUCAACGAUUAAAAGUCCUACGUGAUCUGAGUUCAGACCGGGGCAAU